rnacentral:rRNA from 1 species
AUUGAACGCUGGCGGCAUGCUUUACACAUGCAAGUCGAACGGCAGCACGGGCUUCGGCCUGGUGGCGAGUGGCGAACGGGUGAGUAAUAUAUCGGAACGUACCCAGAAGUGGGGGAUAACGUAGCGAAAGUUACGCUAAUACCGCAUACGAUCUAUGGAUGAAAGCAGGGGACCGCAAGGCCUUGUGCUCCUGGAGCGGCCGAUAUCUGAUUAGCUAGUUGGUGAGGUAAAGGCUCACCAAGGCGACGAUCAGUAGCUGGUCUGAGAGGACGACCAGCCACACUGGAACUGAGACACGGUCCAGACUCCUACGGGAGGCAGCAGUGGGGAAUUUUGGACAAUGGGCGCAAGCCUGAUCCAGCAAUGCCGCGUGAGUGAAGAAGGCCUUCGGGUUGUAAAGCUCUUUUGUCAGGGAAGAAACGGUAGAGGCUAAUAUCCUUUGCUAAUGACGGUACCUGAAGAAUAAGCACCGGCUAACUACGCG